AGAAGCAACAGUUAGAACCGGACAUGGAACAAUGGACUGGUUCCAGAUUGGGAGAGGCUGACGUGAAACAGCUUCUAAUAAACUGGCUUACUAAUCAGGUGCAGAUUCAGCUCACCAGUUCCAGCUCUGCGCUCAGUUCCACCUGCGGCAGUUCCUCCACACCAUCAAGCAAGUCCCUGACACCAGCUGGGUACCCUACAGUUCAACACAAUUCUGACACGACCUAACUGGAAACAGCGUCAGACUUGGAAAGAAGCUUCAAGCUGCUGUAGAUGUAAGAAUGAAGAGAAAAUCUGCUUAAAUGGGUCUUUGUUCUAGGAAGAAUCAUUUGCAUUGCCCUUCUUAGAAAUGCAAAUGUCAGGCAAGUAGGCCUUGGGAAAAGAUGUAAUGGUUAUGUAAUUGUCUUGAUAAAUACUGUUUCAAAUAAAAUCUCUUAGUAGGCACAGGAAGUCUGAGAGUUCAGCUGGUCAGUUCACCUAAUACCUGAGGCUCUUCUGAGAUGGUGGGACAUAGAACCCAAACCCAGCGAUUUGAAGUCAGUGAAAGCCAACUUCUUAGGUGGCUCGGCCUUAGCCAAGACACUG